AGCGAACGCUGGCGGCAGGCCUAACACAUGCAAGUCGAACGGAUCCUUCGGGAUUAGUGGCGGACGGGUGAGUAACACGUGGGAACGUGCCCUUUGGUUCGGAACAACUCAGGGAAACUUGAGCUAAUACCGGAUGUGCCCUUCGGGGGAAAGAUUUAUCGCCAUUGGAGCGGCCCGCGUCUGAUUAGCUAGUUGGUGAGGUAACGGCCCACCAAGGCGACGAUCAGUAGCUGGUCUGAGAGGAUGAUCAGCCACACUGGGACUGAGACACGGCCCAGACUCCGACGGGAGGCAGCAGUGGGGAAUCUUGCGCAAUGGGCGAAAGCCUGACGCAGCCAUGCCGCGUGAAUGAUGAAGGUCUUAGGAUUGUAAAAUUCUUUCAGCGGGGACGAUAAUGACGGUACCCGCAGAAGAAGCUCCGGCUAACUUCGUG
rnacentral:rRNA from 1 species